rnacentral:tRNA from 1 species
GAAUGGCAUAGUGGUUAGUGACCCUGACUACUGAACCGAAGGUCCCGGGUUCGAUUCCCGGCUGAGGCA